UACGAAGGGUGCAAGCGUUACUCGGAAUUACUGGGCGUAAAGCGUGCGUAGGUGGUUCGUUAAGUCUGAUGUGAAAGCCCUGGGCUCAACCUGGGAAUUGCAUUGGAUACUGGCGGGCUAGAGUACGGUGGAGGGUGGCGGAAUUCCUGGUGUAGCAGUGAAAUGCGUAGAUAUCAGGAGGAACAUCCGUGGCGAAGGCGGCCACCUGGACCAGUACUGACACUGAGGCACGAAAGCGUGGGGAGCAAACAGG
rnacentral:rRNA from 1 species